rnacentral:rRNA from 1 species
CUGGGAACACCGGAAAAAGAAGGAGUGGGGAACUUCCUGAGUAACACGUGGGUAACCUGCCCAUCAGAAGGGGAUAACACUUGGAAACAGGUGCUAAUACCGUAUAACAAUCGAAACCGCAUGGUUUUGAUUUGAAAGGCGCUUUCGGGUGUCGCUGAUGGAUGGACCCGCGGUGCAUUAGCUAGUUGGUGAGGUAACGGCUCACCAAGGCUACGAUGCAUAGCCGACCUGAGAGGGUGAUCGGCCACAUUGGGACUGAGACACGGCCCAAACUCCUACGGGAGGCAGCAGUAGGGAAUCUUCGGCAAUGGACGAAAGUCUGACCGAGCAACGCCGCGUGAGUGAAAAAGGUUUUCGGAUCGUAAAACUCUGUUGUUAGAGAAGAACAAGGAUGAGAGUAACUGUUCAUCCCUUGACGGUAUCUAACCAGAAAGCCACGGGUAACUACGUGCCAGCAGCCGCGGUAAUACGUAGGUGGCAAGCGUUGUCCGGAUUUAUUGGGCGUAAAGCGAGCGCAGGCGGUUUCUUAAGUCUGAUGUGAAAGCCCCCGGCUCAACCGGGGAGGGUCAUUGGAAACUGGGAGACUUGAGUGCAGAAGAGGAGAGUGGAAUUCCAUGUGUAGCGGGGAAAUGCGUAAAUAUAUGGAGGAACACCAGUGGCGGAAAGCGGCUCUCUGGUCUGUAACUGACGCUGAGGCUCGAAAGCGUGGGGAGCAAACAGGAUUAUAUACCCUGGUAGUC